CUGUGCCACGCGUACACUUGGGUUCUACGCGCGCCGUCCACCCCCCACCUGACGACGGCUCGCUACGUGUGUUAGCU
rnacentral:sRNA from 1 species